CAGGACCGCAUAGCGCAGUGGAUUAGCGCGUUUGACUUCGGAUCAAAAGGUCGUGGGUUCGACUCCCACUGUGGUCGAUUUUAUUUUUAAAUCUCUUUUCAUUUUCUACAAAAACAAAUUAUUAAUAAAAUAAAUAAUAUUAAUAAGUUAAUUAUUAGACAAUGAACAUUACGACCGCAUAGCGCAGUGGAUUAGCGCGUUUGACUUCGGAUCAAAAGGUCGUGGGUUCGACUCCCACUGUGGUCGA
rnacentral:tRNA from 1 species